rnacentral:rRNA from 1 species
ACACUCCUGCGGGAGGCAGCAGUGGGGAAUAUUGCACAAUGGGCGGAAGCCUGAUGCAGCAACGCCGCGUGCGGGAUGACGGCCUUCGGGUUGUAAACCGCUUUCGCCUGUGACGAAGCGUGAGUGACGGUAAUGGGUAAAGAAGCACCGGCUAACUACGUGCCAGCAGCCGCGGUGAUACGUAGGGUGCGAGCGUUGUCCGGAUUUAUUGGGCGUAAAGGGCUCGUAGGUGGUUGAUCGCGUCGGAAGUGUAAUCUUGGGGCUUAACCCUGAGCGUGCUUUCGAUACGGGUUGACUUGAGGAAGGUAGGGGAGAAUGGAAUUCCUGGUGGAGCGGUGGAAUGCGCAGAUAUCAGGAGGAACACCAGUGGCGAAGGCGGUUCUCUGGGCCUUUCCUGACGCUGAGGAGCGAAAGCGUGGGGAGCGAACAGGCUUAGAUACCCCAGUAGUCCCA